UACGGAGGGUGCGAGCGUUAAUCGGAAUUACUGGGCGUAAAGCGCGCGUAGGUGGUUUGGCAAGUCGGAUGUGAAAGCCCCGGGCUUAACCUGGGAACUGCAUUCGAUACUGCCUUACUGGAGUGUGGUAGAGGGUAGUGGAAUUCCAGGUGUAGCGGUGAAAUGCGUAGAUAUCUGGAGGAACAUCAGUGGCGAAGGCGGCUACCUGGACCAACACUGACACUGAGGAGCGAAAGCGUGGGGAGCAAACAGG
rnacentral:rRNA from 1 species